UUUUUUUUUUUUUUUUUUUUUUUCCAUAAAUGGCUUUUACUCCUCGCUAAUUUAGCAAGGUGGAUUCUGCCAAUGUCGAGGUGUGGACUUUGACUUAUGCGAGCAGAGAAUGUUCGGUUUAAUUUUGAUUUUUGUGGAAGGAUAGACUGGGAACCUAAAACAAACAAAUAUUAUGGACAACACAAACACAUGACAUGACACAUUUCACAUAAUACCAACAUUAGUAAAAAGAGCGGAAAGCGGAUGACAGAUUGUUAAGGCAAGCAACAUAGCGGAUGAAAUGGAGGAAAAAACAUAGAAAUUAAAAUAUAUAGAUAGAUAGAAAUAUAGUAAGAGUAAAAAUUAAAGUUUUAUAUCAUGCUCCUGUAUAUACUUAAUAAGAAUAGAAGUUAGAGGCGGGUCCAUUAGAGUGAGAAGUGAGUAGAAAUUUAUAGGUCGUGGAAUAUUUUCAGGUAGCACAUCAUACAAAGAGUAAUUGAAUCUCGGACAAGAAAAGAAAAUGUGAUCUACGGUGCCUUCAUCGAACCCGCAUUCGCACAGUGAGGUAUCCCGGACCCGUAUCUUAGCAAGAAAUACUGGCGUACAAACUGGCCCUAAGCGUAAACGACAGAUUGUAGACGUGGCCCAUUUCGGAUAAGCUCGGAAUUUAAAAAACCAUGGUUUACGGGGGAUGUUGGGUUGAAUGUGGCCAUAAUGCUUUCCUACCUCCAAUCUGGAAGAAUCCCAGAGAUUUUGCCACGUGUUAAACAGAUCAGUCUGUGCAUGGCUCAGAAGGUCAGAGCUGUAUAUCUUAUUGUGACCUGGUGAUCCCAUCUCAAUAGCUUGCCUUGCCCAUAAGUCUGCAGACUCAUUUCCAGCAAUACCACAAUGGCCUGGGAUCCACCCGAGUACUAUUUUUAACCCCUUUAAGUCACAUUUUCUUAAUAAGGUUUUGAUCUGAAGUAUUAAGGGAAAUUUUGUCUUCAUUUUAAACUGAUUGCCCAUAAUGGCUUGCAGACAACUCCUGCUAUCUGUAAAUAUUAUCAUUUUUGUUAUAUUGUGAGAGUCAGCAUACGUUACAGCUUCUAAGAUGGCAACAGCCUCGCCUGUAAAAAUUGAUGAUUCUGGAGGGCACUUAAACAUCAAGACAAUGUUAUAUUUUGGAAUCACCACUGCGGCUCCAACACACUUUGUGGGAUCACUUUUUGAUGCGUCAGUAAACACUGUGACCAGUGAAGCAAGAGCCUGCAAGCGUGGAAUCAGCAAGUGAUUGGAAUUGGAGAUAGCUCUUAUGAGGAACCUGUUGGCAAGAUAUUGCCUGCGCAGUGCCAGUGGAGGCUCCACACAUUCUACUUGCAUUGCGUUUUUUGGAGAAGACCUCAUGGCACCAAAUGCUGUUUUCCACACAUUUUCCAGUCCAAGACAACACCCAGGAAUUUGGUUGAUUCUGCAUUGGGAAUGUUUUCCUCACCAAAAUGAACAUCUGCGAUGGGCAUGUUCCUUCUGCGACUGAAAGUCACGGCACAGCUCUUGGAAGGUGACAAAGACAAACCAUGCUCCUCAAGCCAAUCCUUGAGGUAACUAAGGCCCAUGUUCAACCUGGUAGCCGCUGUAUCAAUGGAUUUUGCAGAAGCAUAGAGGACUAGAUCGUCUGCAUACUGUAGAAUAUUACAAAAGGGUAACACGGACUGCUCUAGGUCAUAUGUAUAAAUGCUAUAAAGUAUUGGACUCAAAACGGAUCCUUGAGGGAGGCCCUGCCACAAUGUACGAGGAGGAAGAUAUGAGUUACCAUCA